UAACCUUCACAUAUGCAACGUGCCAUAGUAGUUCUUGUGUUUUUCCCUUCCCAAUGCAACUGUAAAAUAUGACUAAAGCCGACUGAGAAAUCCCCUUUUCAUGUGUAGAAAUAGCAGCUGAAAUUCUCGUAAGCAUCCACUCAGCUGUGAGAUAUAGUAAAUAAUGAAGAUAGAAUAGUAAUCAUAAUCUCAUAAGCAGAGUAUUCAGUAUCAACAAUACCCUCUUCAUGACAGAGAGGAACAAAAUUAAAACAACACAACCAGAUCCAUCCAGAGACAAAAGAAUCAAAAAAAACAAAAGAAAGAAACUGAUGCAAAGUAGUCGCGAACAAAAAGUCUGUCUGUCUGUCUCCCUGAUCUCUCUCUCUCUCUCUCUCUAAAGUAACAGCCACAAGAAAGAUGCACAUCCAAGUCCCAUCAUCCCAACCAUCGUCUUCUCUACUCCACUCUGCAACAAAUUAACCACCCGUCAGCACAUUCGAUAUUACAUUAUUACCAUUACCAGAUGUUGGGCUGUGCCAGCCCAACGGGCUCAUAUUCGGAAUGUUUGUUCAAAGCCCACUGAUGGCAUAUGCAACUUUAUCCAACGUUUCACCACUCAAUUUUUUUUUCUUCUCAAAUUUUCCGCAGAUCUAACAAAAUUUAAUUGUUCUGAUUAGCCCUUUAAUUUAAUAAUAAAAUAAAUAAAGUAGUAACACUCCUUGGAUUCUACGUCUCUUACUCACUGUAUCUCAAAACCUAAAGGAAUUUUUUAAUGUAAAAACGUGACAGCUCUACCUAGUGUGUCACGUGCAGCUUACAGAAAUGAAAAGCCACUUUCCGAUUUUCCUUAGUCCCCUAAACCAUCUGACAUCCACGCGCUGGAUUCAUCUAUUACGACAACACGCGCCGCUUUAGAAUGAGAUCCAAGAUCAGGUCAAACUUAUGAUACAAGAUCUGUUUUACUGUUUGUUCUCUAAUUAGGACCGACCAAACUAAUUAACAUUCACAUUUCCUUACUCUAAUUAGGUCUUUAAUCUCAAUUACUAAUGGUAAAUAGUAAGGAUAAAGAAAACGACGACGUACCAUAUCAGAACCGGUGCCGGCUGGUCCAGGAGCAGAAGCGCCCAAGCUAGGGGAAGGAGCUCCGGUGGGAGGAGCGGGCGGGCUUGAUCCCAGAGGCGAAGGAGCGGAAGCCGGAGACUUCACCUUCUUGGACGGAGCCGGAGCUGGGACCGAAGCAGGUGGAGAUGCCAGGGGAGCUGGUGGCGGGGUUGCCGGAGGAGGAGUGGCUGGCGGUGGGGUUGCCGGAGGAGGAGUUGCAGGUGGUGGAGUGGCGACCGGAGGUGGAGUUGAUGGUGGAGGGGAAGCAGGUGGGGGAGUAGCAGCAACCGGCGGAGGUGUGCUGACUGGAGGAGGAGUUGAUGGAGGUGGGGCGGAGACUGGAGGAGGAGAGGCCGCCGGAGGAGGGGAGGAAGUCGGGGGAGGAGUGGUGCUCACCGGAGGAGCGGCGGUCGGGGUGGUGGGAGUGGGUGGAGCCGGGGUGGCGGUAGGAGAAGCAGCCGGAGAUUGAGCGCCGACGCCGGCGAUGACAAUGCAGAUGAGAGAGAGGACGACCAAAGCUGAUGGACUCUUCAUCUUGCGCCGAUCUAGUUUCCUCUCUCUUCUUUCUUUUCUUCUCGUAAAACUACAAACAGAGAAAGAUAGAGAGAGAGAGAGAGAGAGAGAGAGGAGUGAGGGGGGAAAGAGAGUGAGAAAUCAAACGGGAAUAAAUAGUGGUGGAUAAAUUAAGAA
rnacentral:lncRNA from 1 species